AGUUGCUGCUGCUCAUAUCAGCUUCCAGAACCAUGGAUCCCUGAGAGGCCCAGCACUGCCCCCACCCCCUGGCAUGCUGGCCCCCCUGCCAGGUGUAGGUAUCCUGCUGAUUUCAUCCUCUGCACUGCGUGGGUCACACACAUCUAUCCACCACAGGCAGCUCUGUACCCUCAGGGACUAGGUUGGCCUAGGUUGGGCACACGGGCCUUUUCAAAUCCUUGCCAUGCCAUUUAUGAGCUGAGUGGCCCUGAGCAAUUUAUUUAACCUCUCUCAGCCUUGGAUUCACUCUCUGCAAAAUGGAUAUACAAACAGUACCUGGCCUUAAAAUGUUGAUGAGAGAAAUAAAUGAACCAAAGUGCUUAGUCCGUGAUUCAUGGAUCCACCACCACAAUCAAGAUACUGAAAGGCUCCAACAACAAAACAGUGUUGCCCUAUAACCAUACCCUCAUCCCUCCCAUCCUUAACCUUUGGCAACCUCCAAUUUGUCCUCCUUUUCUAAAAUUGUC